ACGCGAUGGAACAAACAGGCUAUUUUGAACAAGAGCGCUGGAAGCCUUCCAACAAGCACAGCCCUUUCCCAGUUCCGAAGAGAAAGAGGCGCAACAAUGCUAAGAGGUUCAGUGAUGAACAAGUGAAGUCACUUGAGUCCAUGUUUAAUCGGGAGGCAAAGCUUGAACCAAGGAACAAGCUGCAGCUGGCAAAAGAUCUAGGCCUGCAGCCGCGCCAGGUAUCAAUCUGGUUUCAGAACAAAAGGGCGAGAUGGAAAUCAAAGAAACUAGAGCAAGAAUAUAGAGUACUAAAAGCGAAUUUCGAUGCUCUAUGCCACCAAUUUGAAGCCUUGAAGAAAGAAAAUGAGUCUCUGCUUGAGCAGGUAUCUAAGUAUCUA
rnacentral:lncRNA from 1 species